rnacentral:lncRNA from 1 species
GGGGUGGAAAGCGUGGCCGACUGGCCAGAGGAAACGUCCCUCUAGUUUGAAACCUCGGCUCCGCCCCUCUGCUCAGCACUUGAAAGAAGACGAUGGAGAGACGCCGAAUCUGAGGCCUUGGCUCCCGUGUUUGGGACCAGGAGGGAAGGAGAGAAGAUAGAUUUCGCUGAGACACUUGCCCGGGUCCCUUUGUGGGUCAGAAUGGGUCCCGAUGAGAACCUGAGUGUGAGAGUGAAACUACGGAGUAUCAUUUGUAGCUUUGUUCCUCAAGACUUGCCAUGAGAUUUAAGUAGAGCGCCUGUGUGGAAAUUGUUAAUUGUAGCUAGUCAGAUCGAAG